AUCCAGCCGACGAGUCCCAACUAGGACGAAACGCGCGUCCUGGGU
rfam:Schistosoma haematobium scaffold780_18, whole genome shotgun sequence.